UACAGAGGUCUCAAGCGUUGUUCGGAUUCAUUGGGCGUAAAGGGUGCGUAGGCGGCGAUGUAAGUCUGGUGUGAAAUCUCGGGGCUCAACCUCGAAAUUGCAUUGGAUACUGCGUUGCUUGAGGAUUGUAGAGGAGAGUGGAAUUCACGGUGUAGCAGUGAAAUGCGUAGAUAUCGUGAGGAAGACCAGUUGCGAAGGCGACUCUCUGGGCAAUUCCUGACACUGAGGCACGAAGGCCAGGGGAGCAAACGGG
rnacentral:rRNA from 1 species